rnacentral:lncRNA from 1 species
UAGGCUAGCAAGUGUCCUUAUUAUCGUUCCCAUACAGGCUAUACUCUGACCCUUUUAAAGGCUAACAUUUCACUGCCUCCUAGCCUCGGGUGUUUGUGCAAAAUGUAAUAUGGCAGCUUUCCGAACUUAACGCUGCACAUAAACACAAUACCACAUGCACAUAAGCAAGAGGAUCGUAAAAGCUGGAGAAAAGCAACAGUCUGCCGGGCACUAGAAUUGCUGGAAGAACAAUUUUCUGAGCACAGUUCCACUCAGUCACUUCAGUUUAAGCCUAAGGUUGGUCUGGCUCUGCUUUCUGGAGGAGAAUCCCAGUCUCUGCAGGCUUCCUAAAAAGUCUGAAAAGGUAAACUUCUCAAUGCAGGUUGGCGCUUGAACCUAGGAGCAAAUACUGUGACCUUACAAGCAAGGGUGGAAAGGCACUGGAACAGGUUGCCCAGAAAGGUGGUGGAAGCCCUAUCCCUGAAGACAUUCAAGGUCAGGCUAGACCAGGCUCUGAGCAGCCUUAUCUAGCUCUAGGUGUCCUGGUUCAUUGCAGGGGAGUUGGACUAGAUGGCCUUUAAGUGUCCCUUACAGCACAACAAAUUCUAUGAUUCUAUGACCUAACAGUGAAGUGGGAAGCUCAAGGACCUUGCUGUGUUAGAGGGAGAGUGUGACAUGCUGUGCAUCCCAAGCAAAGGAGAAGCUCAGAAGAGAUCCAUGAACAUUUGAAGUGAGGGAGGAACCUCCAAACACAUCAGUGAUUUUUCCAGAACCUAGCAUAUACCAAGAAAAAUCUUCCAGGGACUUAAUUUGUAGUGUGGUCUCUAGCAUAAAAGCAUCCUCUCCCAUGACAUAUGAUCAAAUACACCGUCAAGCAAGAGACAGAGUGAACUGGAACCAGCCCAUGCAAUAUUUCUCUUGUUCAAUUUAUUGCUGGAAAGGCUUAAGUCUUUGUUCAUCUUUCCAUUUUGAGGAAUUAAAAAAAAACUUCAGGCUCCAGAAAGGUUUUGAUGUUCCUUAUGCAAGGAUUCUAACUGCAGCAUGCUCCCCACUGUAG